rnacentral:lncRNA from 1 species
CUGGGGCCCCGACGCUUUGCCUUCAACCAGCCGGUACUUUUAGUGGAGAAACUGAGACCCUACAGUGGAGGGAUCUUGGCGCAGAUUCACUCAGACCCCGAGGCAACUUUCUAGAUUCUAGACUUUAAUGCACGAGAGAAGUAGGUGAGUAAAUACCCCGAGAAUGAGAUGUUUGCCCUGAGAAGGAUAAAAGCCGCAGCAAGAAGGACUUUAUAACUAAGGCUGGGAAUAGUGACUCUGGGUGGCGGCCUGGUUUCGAGACUGGCUGGUCCAAGUACACAGAAGAGUUGAGCAGCUACAAGUUUGCAGAGUCCCGGAGGAAGUGUGCGGCUGGAGGCGAGGCUUUCCAUGUCAGGGUCCUAAAGAGUCUUACUAUAUCGCUCCUGCUGUUCUCCACCUCCGGGGAUCAAACUGCCCACGUCAGCUUCCGGAAUCGAAGGGAAGAUAGAUGUGUGUGUGCUACCCACCUGGCAAGCCCUAAAGUUGAGAUGUGGAAACGUGGGUGCACUGAAUGUCUGUUCUACUAAAGAGUGUUGUUCUUCUGACCUUGGGAUGAAUCGCUUCCCUUCUUGGGCCUGUUUAUUCAAGUUAAUGUGAAAUAAUCCCCUUUAACAUUAGUUAUCUUUCCUAC